GUGCAGGUGUAGUGAGGUGUCACCAACGUUGCGUAGCAGGUCAAUAAGCGGAGGUAGCAGGCCGCAGGUGAGCAGUUGUUGUAUCUGUUGAGCGGGACCAGCAGCGAUGUUAGAUACGGCCCAGGUUGCCUCCUUCUGAACGCUAGGUUUGCUGUGUCUCAUUAAACUAGGCAGGACAGACAGCACCCCGGCGUCGAUGGCCA